rnacentral:snoRNA from 1 species
AACCCAUGGUGAGGGCACCUUCUUAAUAGGUCCUUGUAUCUCUCCCAUACAUCGUAAAGAGUUUCUAAACCCAUCCUCACAAAAGAAGAGAUAUCAUUCCUUAGUUU